ensembl:lncRNA
CCGCUGCCGCGCCGGGCGGGUGUCCCGCCGUGCACCCGCCGUCCCCGUGUCCUUCCGUGCACGCGUCCUUCCCGCUGUAAGGAGCGCUUUCUGAGUCGUGCCCCCUAUUUUGCGCAGCGCCCGCGCGCAGAGGAGCCCAUCCGUGUUUGCGGUCGAUACGAGAGUUGCAAGGAAGAAGGAUGCUAGCCCAGUUUUGCAGAUGGCAAACAGCCGCAGGGAGAUGAAGGUGGCCUGCCUGGGGCCGCCGGGAAUCUGUGUCAGAACGGAACAGCGCUCAGAUUUCAGCACAAAGCACUUUCCGGCUACGCACCCCUAUUCCCUUUAGUGCUAAUGCAAGCUACUGCUUGCUGCAGAGAUAUGUCAGGACUGAAAAGGAGGGAACUGGAGCAGCGUUGCAGGCGGUACAGUACAGCUUUCCAGGUACCCGCUUGGAACAGCCUGGCUGCGGUGACUGUGGUAGAUUCAGAAUCUCUAUAGGCAUCCGGAGCUCAGCAGCCACAGUGGGACUGAAAAUGCCUUGCUCUAGAAACACCGUGCAGCAGGGAGGGCAUCACUGCUGUUGUGGAGUGCGGAGCAUCUGUGCCACACAGUGGAGCAACUCUGUUUUUGUCAGGCAGAGGAGAACAGUAGCAAAUGCUCGUUAGGCGCUGCGUUGUGACUUCAGUGCUUUUCAGCAGUUUAUCGUGUAGCCAGUAUAGAUGCAGCUUAAUCGGCUUUGUUUCAAUAAGGAAGGACAAGGCGGUUGUCAAAGAGCUUCCAGGAUGAUCCAGGAAGAUGGCAAAGAGUGAGAGAAAGACGAGGGAAAGGCCUAGGGAGUCCCUGGGAGAAGCUAGAGAGCUGCAGGUUGGUGGUGAUUUCAUUUAGUACGAGAAAAGACUUUGAAUCUAUCUCAUCCUCCACGCUGAUGGAUGCGCACAAUGAGGAUGCAUUGAGUGGGCUAACUGCACCGGUGAACCAUAUUGACUUAUCUAAAUCUAAUUCAUCCAUCAUCAUCGUAGUCUGUAGGGGGCGGUUAUAAAGCUUGGUAAUUAGUUAUGUGAACAUCCUUUCUGCUGUCGGAAGAGCCUGGCUCGCUGCUGAUGGUGCUGACCAUGAACAGGAGUUGCAGCACAGCAGCUGUCAAACCACGGCUGCGCUUUUCAUGGCAACUCAUUAGCUGUGUUGCUGGGAGGACCCUGACCUAACUGUUGUGAGCCACACGUCUCUUCCCUGCCGGGGGCAGCCGCCGCACCGCUCGCAGGCACACAGAGCCUCACAACACAGCCUUCCCCUGUCAGUGGAAAGCUUGACGAACCAUUUUAAGACUAUCAAGAGGCACUGAGUCUAAGGCCUAAUUAUGAACAUAAAGUCCUAUGAGACCUGGUUGGUAGCCAGGCCUGAAACCCAACACACCACAAAGCUGGUGCGAUAGCCUGACAAAAGCCAAAAUCCUCCUUUGGGAUACUUCGGUCUUGGCUCCUUUUAUCCUUUCCUGUGCUCGACCUCUUGUUCUGUCGCUCCCUGCUUCUUGCUUUCCUCCUGCCCUUGGCACAAGCUGCCUGCCUGUGAGACACAGGCAAUGCCUCCCUCCUCCCGUGGGUGUCCGGCCCUUUUCUGCAGGCCCUGCCAGGCUUUUGCAAACAAACUGCCCGAAGCUGAGGAAACAACCUGACUGCUCAUAGCCCAGAGGCUCUGCUUCGUGCUGUCAUCUGCGACAGUCCCCC